GACGAACGCUGGCGGCGUGCUUAACACAUGCAAGUCGAACGGUGAAGCUCCAGCUUGCUGGAGUGGAUCAGUGGCGAACGGGUGAGUAACACGUGAGCAACCUGCCCCUGACUCUGGAAUAAGCGCUGGAAACGGCGUCUAAUACUGGAUACGAGAAGGGUCCGCAUGGGCACUUUCUGGAAAGUUUUUCGGUUGGGAUGGGCUCGCGGCCUAUCAGCUUGUUGGUGAGGUAAUGGCUCACCAAGGCGACGACGGGUAGCCGGCCUGAGAGGGCGACCGGCCACACUGGGACUGAGACACGGCCCAGACUCCUACGGGAGGCAGCAGUGGGGAAUAUUGCACAAUGGGCGAAAGCCUGAUGCAGCGACGCCGCGUGAGGGAUGACGGCCUUCGGGUUGUAAACCUCUUUCAGCAGGGAAGAAGCGAAAGUGACGGUACCUGCAGAAGAAGCACCGGCUAACUACGUG
rnacentral:rRNA from 1 species